CUAGUCAUGAUGUCACCAAGUUUACUAUUGUUUUGGUCCUUUACAGUUUCAUACAUUCAUAGGGUUCUAUGUCCACAUUCUAAUGUUCAUGUGUAAGAUCUGGUCCUCUUUUAGAGGAUUCAAUAACUGACAAUACUACAAUUUAACUUCUAACUAGCUCUUUAUGCUAGUUUCACAAUUUCACUGUUUAUCUCACAAUGCUAUCCAAUUCUCUAGUAGAAUGUCACCAAGUUCACUAUUGUCAAAGUCCAUGCAUUCAUAGGGUUCUAUGUCCACAAUCUAGGUUCACAAAUUCUUAUUGUUGAUAGGAAUUCACAUUUUCACUCGCUCAAUGCCAAACACCCUAUAAUGCAUGACUACAAAUAUAAAUAUGCUCAACGGAGAAUUAUAGACAUAAAAGGUGAUUCAAAGAGUUCGGAUAGCACCACCCACCUGUAGUGGUGUCAAUCAACUAGAAUCCACAUCUCGGAAAGCGUCGACGACUAUCUCUCGCGACUCCCUGCAAAUAGGACUAGAGUGGUCUCCACCGUAAUUAGCGCGUCGCCGACCUGUCGGAAAGUCAAUUUAGACUCUUGGGCAUGUUUACUUUUCACUUAUAAAGGAUUAGAAAAGAUUAAACUAGAGUCAAUACUCAUAAUUGACAAGUUAGCAUUUCAAUGCUAUAUAAAGCGGCAACUAUAGCCGAAAACCUUCUUUUGGCGAUAUCUUUGCGUAGGUUCGUCGGAUUGCCGAAUCGACUUCGCAAACGCGUUUCUUUUACCCCCAAUUAGCUUUGUACGCGGUCAAUUUCGCGAUAGGGCUUCUAUCCUGCAAAAGUGCAUUACCGGGGUCAAUUUCUAUAAAAACCCCUUUUCAAUGUAAUUUUCACAAUUACAUAGCGUAAUUCAACCCUUAUUAGCCCACGAACCUCAAAACAAUGAGGAAAAACUGUCCAAAUACUUUGAUCCCAUUUUUCUCUCUUUCAUUUCCUUUCUUUCAUUUUUCUUCUCUUUCUUUCUUUCUUUCUUUUCUUUUCCUUUCUUUCUUUCUUUUCUUUUCUUCCUUUCUUUCCCUGCAGCAGCUUCUACUGCUGUUCCUGCUGAAGCUGCUGCUGCUGCUGCUGC
rnacentral:lncRNA from 1 species